rnacentral:rRNA from 1 species
GACGAACGCUGGCGGCGUGCUUAACACAUGCAAGUCGAACGGAAAGGCCUUUUCGGAGGUACUCGAGUGGCGCACGGGUGAGUAACACGUGGGUGAUCUGCCCUGCACUCUGGGAUAAGCCUGGGAAACUGGGUCUAAUACCGGAUAGGACCGCACUUUAGUGUGUGUGGUGGAAAGUUUUUUCGGUGUAGGAUGAGCCCGCGGCCUAUCAGCUUGUUGGUGGGGUAAUGGCCUACCAAGGCGGCGACGGGUAGCCGGACUGAGAGGUUGGUCGGCCACAUUGGGACUGAGAUACGGCCCAGACUCCUACGGGAGGCAGCAGUGGGGAAUAUUGCACAAUGGGCGCAAGCCUGGUGCAGCGACGCCGCGUGGGGGAUGACGGCCUUCGGGUUGUAAACUCCUUUCGCCAGGGACGAAGCGUUUUGUGACGGUACCUGGAGAAGAAGCACCGGCUAACUACGUG